CCUUCCCUAUGGUACGGAAUAACUCAGAGAAAUUUGAGCUAAUACCGUAUAAGCCCUUCGGGGGAAAGAUUUAUCGCCAUAGGAUGGGCCCGCGUCGGAUUAGCUUGUUGGUGAGGUAGUGGCUCACCAAGGCAACGAUCCGUAGCUGGUCUUAGAGGAUGAUCAGCCACACUGGGACUGAGACACGGCCCAGACUCCUACGGGAGGCAGCAGUGGGGAAUAUUGGACAAUGGGCGCAAGCCUGAUCCAGCCAUGCCGCGUGAGUGACGAAGGCCUUAGGGUUGUAAAGCUCUUUUGGCGGGGACGAUAAUGACGGUACCCGCAGAAUAAGCCCCGGCUAACUUCGUGCCAGCAGCCGCGGUAAUACGAAGGGGGCUAGCGUUGUUCGGAAUUACUGGGCGUAAAGCGCACGUAGGCUGACUGGUCAGUUGGGGGUGAAAUCCCGGGGCUCAACCUCGGAACUGCCUUCAAUACUGCCAGUCUUGGGUCCGAGAGAGGUGAGUGGAAUUCCUAGUGUAGAGGUGAAAUUCGUAGAUAUUAGGAAGAACACCAGUGGCGAAGGCGGCUCACUGGCUCGGUACUGACGCUGA
rnacentral:rRNA from 1 species